UUCUAUGGAAACAGAAGUUAUCAAGUGGGCGCAUGGAUGACAGGUUGGGCCACCCACGCAAACUGACCCUCAAGAUCAAGUAAAACAAGAGAGCUGCAACGUCAUACCACAUCCACUCUGAAAAAGAGAAGUGUGGAUAGAGAGAGAGAGAAAGAAGAAAGGGGGAGGUAAAAGUGCAAAGAGACCGAGAGAUUGUCAAAAAAAAAAAGAAAGAAGAAAAAAAACACCAAGGGAUGGCUGCACAGAAAAGCCUCAAAGUGGAAGUUGUGACUCUGGGAUAGUGAGACUCAGAGCUGCUGGUGCCGGCCUCCCCAGGGUGACAGAGAGGUCUGCAGAGAGUGAACCAAUCCAGCCAUCCAUGGCCAGAGAACAGGGAGGAUUAACAGAGCAAUGCAUCAUAGCUGUAGCAACCAGUGAUGUGUAGCAGACUGUAUUUAUUGACUCAUUGACUGUAUUGAUUGUCUCAAUUGAUGAAAGUCCAGAGACAACAGACAGACGCACAGUGGGUUAUGCAGAAUAAUAAAGAAAAGAUGAUGGAUCAUGUUGUUAUUUCAUUGCAUGAGUAAAAAGGAGCAUUUCACAGCAAAAACCCUGUUCAACAGAAGCAUCCGUCCCGGUUCGUCCUGCUGAUCACAAGUGUUUGGUAGUAAACCUCUGGUUACAGCACAUUUCACUGGCAGGCAUCAUCUCAUUCAAGUUAAGUACACACAGUAAUGGCUUGGUAAUUUACCUGGGCAUGUAUGUAGCUUUUUUUUCUUGACAGCAAAUUCUCUCUGACAUUGACAUUGUUCCAGCAGCAGCGGUUUAUUUAACACACCAUUAAUCUCUAACGACAGAAGACCGUGCUGUAGCAGAUGUUUGUUAACAAACUUCUGCUCAGUCUUUCCGGUGUUGUUCUUCACCCUUGUUGACAUGGAUUACUGUGACAAGAAGAGGGGUCACGAGGCAAACAUCCGAGGACCGCAAGAGUUAACUGAUAUUUUGGGUGCGUUUUGGCGACAGGAAAUUGUUUCUGUCAAGAUAAAGAACUAUUUGAUCCAUUUCUAACCCUUGAUAUUUGUAGUACAUGGAUCCAUUUGUCAAAUUAUGCCAAAACCACUGAUAGUGCGCCACAUCUGAGUGCAUGGUCAUCAGUAUGCUAAUGUUCAACAAUGCAGUGAAACAAUCCAAUUAUUGAAUGGUGGCCACUUUACAUCAGCUCUCUUAUUGAAUAUGUGUGCAAUUAAUGAGUGCAGAGCAACCAGAAUACUGGCACUGAGUAAAUGAACACUUUGGUAAACUUAGACUG